AUGGGGAAGCAAAAUAAAACAGGAAGUAUGCGACCAUGAAGUGAAUGCUUAGUCUCAGAGAUCAGAGGCUUAAAGAAUAGGAUAGACUAAAACGUGAAAAGAAAGAAAAAUAGUAUCCCAGCAUGCUAAAGAAAAGAAAAGUUCCUCAACACCCUUCCUGGUUAUUUUUCCAAUAUAAUACACAGCUGGGCCCACCUUACCACAUCCUGUUUGACACCAACUUUAUCAAAUUUUCCAUUAAAACCAAACUGGACUUAGUGUAGUCAAUGAUGGACUGUCUGUAUGCCAAGUGUAUCCCUUGUAUAACUGAUUGUGUAAUGGCUGAAAUUGGGAAAUUAGGGCAGAAGUAUGGAGCAGCUGUAAGGAUUGUUAAGGAUCCAAUAUUAGAAUGAUUACCGGGGACACACAAAGAAACCUAUGCAGAUGACAGCUUAGUACAGAGAGUAACUCACAAGUGUUACGUUGUGUCCUUGGUUGACCAGGACCUUAAAAAAAGAAUCCAAAAGAAUCCUGGAGUUCCUAACACGUACAUUUCUAACCAUAGAUAAAACUCUGAACAGAUGUCAGGUGACUAUGGAGCCCCUAGGUUC
rnacentral:lncRNA from 1 species